GGAAAAUUUCAUUUAUUUUAAGCUAGUUAUUAUAAAAUUUCUAAUCUAGGUAAUAGUAGGAGAGCUGGCAAGAAUUUUUGGGUAGGUAUUUGAGGCAAGCUGAAAACUUGUCCUGUACCUCUCCUAUUAUAUCCCAAUACGAAACUGCAGACCUGGCUGGUGCGUAGCGGGGCUAAAUCAAUCCCCAAAUUUUUAAAAAUAUUUUUUUUUUUAUCCAAAAAUAUACUUGAGGCAAUUUGCAAUUUUUAUAUGUUGUAGUUUAAUAUUUAUAGAAUAUAAAAAAAAAUAAGCCAGACGAUUCAGUCGGGGUUUUAACAUUGCCAGGCUCGUUCAAAAAUAUUUUGCAAAAAAAUAUAAAAAAUGUAUUUGAGGCAACUUGAAAUUUUAAUAGAGUAUUAUUUAUAACUAAAAAAUAAGACUCUCAAAAAGACAGAUCAUUUCGGUGGGACUUUUUACCUGCCAGGUGAUCUAACAAAUUUUGUAUGGGUGCGAGUGCGAAGCGCUAUAGACAAACUGUAGACUGAUACUAAGAUAAUCCACCAUGUGUGUAAGCUCGAUACAUAUAGAAAGACGAACGUUCUUCUUAUAAGUUCGGAUACAAACGUACUGAUAAUCAUGCUAGGAAAUAUGGAUCAUCUUCAAAGCGAUGACCUUAACAUUUUUAUGGAGUAUGGCACUGGGAACUCUAAAAGGUACAUCAAUGUAACAAAAUUAUACAUGGAAUUAGGGCCAUCUUUAUGUGCAAGUUUACCUGGUUUUCAUGCAUUAACAGGAUGCGAUUAUAAUCCAUAAUUUUUCCAAAAAGGAAAAAUAAGGCCAUAUAAAAUAUUGAUAAAAAAUCAAAAUUAUCAAAAAGCUUUAACAGAUCUUGGAGUUGCACAUAUUACCGGAUCACGUGAAGAAAUUUUGCCAAUUUUGGAAGCAUUUAUUUGUGAAAUUUAUGGAUAUAAAAAUAUAUCAAAUAUAAAUGCAGCACGGUUUCAUAAAUUUUGUGUAACUUACAAAGCUAACACUGAAGAUGAACCUUUCAAAAAAACUUUAAAAAAUUGUGAUCCCUCUACUUUACCUCCGUGCAAAGCUGAAUUACAACAACAUCUUUUAAGAACGCAAUAUAUAACGAGUAUUUGGAGAAAUGCAUAUUUGCGAUUCCCCAGCAGUUUGACACCGAAUAGAAACGGAUGGACACUUCAUGAGGAUACGCUACAUUUCCACUGGUUCGACGGAGAUUGUAUGCCGCAAUCAGUAUUCGACGCUAUUGUUCAUGAAAACAAUAAACAAAAUAAUAUUGGAAAUGAUACUACAGAUAAUGCAGGGGUAUCCGAAUUAGA
rnacentral:lncRNA from 1 species